rnacentral:lncRNA from 1 species
AUUUUAUGAUAUAAUAAAACUAUUAGAAAAAACAAGUUUUGGGACAAUUUUUCCUAGGAAAACAAGUACCAGACAUAUAUUACUAGCUAUGGACUUAUUUUCCUAGGAACAUUUGUCCUAGGACUUAUAUUCCUAGUAAAAUCAUGGACAUGGACUUGAUUAACUAGAAAAAAAAGUCUGGCGAACAAAUUUUACCACCGGAC